GGGGAAUAUUGCACAAUGGGCGCAAGCCUGAUGCAGCGACGCCGCGUGCGGGAUGACGGCCUUCGGGUUGUAAACCGCUUUUGACUGGGAGCAAGCCCUUCGGGGUGAGUGUACCUUUCGAAUAAGCACCGGCUAACUACGUGCCAGCAGCCGCGGUAAUACGUAGGGUGCAAGCGUUAUCCGGAAUUAUUGGGCGUAAAGGGCUCGUAGGCGGUUCGUCGCGUCCGGUGUGAAAGUCCAUCGCUUAACGGUGGAUCCGCGCCGGGUACGGGCGGGCUUGAGUGCGGUAGGGGAGACUGGAAUUCCCGGUGUAACGGUGGAAUGUGUAGAUAUCGGGAAGAACACCAAUGGCGAAGGCAGGUCUCUGGGCCGUCACUGACGCUGAGGAGCGAAAGCGUGGGGAGCGAACAGGAUUAGAUACCCUGGUAGUCCACGCCGUAAACGGUGGAUGCUGGAUGUGGGGACCAUUCCACGGUCUCCGUGUCGGAGCCAACGCGUUAAGCAUCCCGCCUGGGGAGUACGGCCGCAAGGCUAAAACUCAAAGAAAUUGACGGGGGCCCGCACAAGCGGCGGAGCAUGCGGAUUAAUUCGAUGCAACGCGAAGAACCUUACCUGGGCUUGACAUGUUCCCGACAGCCCCAGAGAUGGGGCCUCCCUUCGGGGCGGGUUCACAGGUGGUGCAUGGUCGUCGUCAGCUCGUGUCGUGAGAUGUUGGGUUAAGUCCCGCAACGAGCGCAACCCUCGCCCUGUGUUGCCAGCACGUCGUGGUGGGAACUCACGGGGGACCGCCGGGGUCAACUCGGAGGAAGGUGGGGAUGACGUCAGAUCAUCAUGCCCCUUACGUCCAGGGCUUCACGCAUGCUACAAUGGCCGGUACAACGGGAUGCGACACCGCGAGGUGGAGCGGAUCCCUUAAAACCGGUCUCAGUUCGGAUUGGAGUCUGCAACCCGACUCCAUGAAGGCGGAGUCGCUAGUAAUCGCGGAUCAGCAACGCCGCGGUGAAUGCGUUCCCG
rnacentral:rRNA from 1 species